rnacentral:rRNA from 1 species
AGAGUUUGAUCCUGGCUCAGAUUGAACGCUGGCGGCAGGCUUAACACAUGCAAGUCGAGCGGAAGUUCGGUCUUAGCGGCGAACGGGUGAGGAAUGCCUGGGAAUCUGCCUGUUAGUGGGGGAUAACGAAUCGAAAGGUUCGCUAAUACCGCAUACGUCCUACGGGAGAAAGCAGGGGACCUUCGGGCCUUGCGCUAACAGAUGAGCCCAGGUCGGAUUAGCUAGUACGUGGGGUAAAGGCUCACCUAGGCGACGAUCCGUAGCUGGUCUGAGAGGAUGAUCAGCCACACUGGAACUGAGACACGGUCCAGACUCCUACGGGAGGCAGCAGUGGGGAAUAUUGGACAAUGGGGGCAACCCUGAUCCAGCCAUGCCGCGUGUGUGAAGAAGGCCUUCGGGUUGUAAAGCACUUUAAGCGGGGAGGAAGGCCUUGGGAUUAGUACUCCUGAGGAUUGACGUUACCCGCAGAAUAAGCACCGGCUAACUCUGUGCCAGCAGCCGCGGUAAUACAGAGGGUGCAAGCGUUAAUCGGAAUUACUGGGCGUAAAGCGCGCGUAGGCGGUUUGUUAAGUCGGAUGUGAAAUCCCCGGGCUCAACCUGGGCACGGCAUCCGAUACUGGCUGACUAGAGUGUGGGAGAGGAAGGUAGAAUUCCAGGUGUAGCGGUGAAAUGCGUAGAGAUCUGGAGGAAUACCGAUGGCGAAGGCAGCCUUCUGGCCUAACACUGACGCUGAGGUGCGAAAGCAUGGGGAGCAAACAGGAUUAGAUACCCUGGUAGUCCAUGCCGUAAACGAUGUCAACUAGCCGUUGGGGACCUUGAGUCUUUAGUGGCGCAGCUAACGCGAUAAGUUGACCGCCUGGGGAGUACGGCCGCAAGGUUAAAACUCAAAGGAAUUGACGG